rnacentral:lncRNA from 1 species
AGGUUGUUGAUUUUUUAAAAGCAUUUGUGUCCUCUACUCCUUGAACAUCAGCUCCUUAAGGACAGGAGACCCUGUCUGUCUGAGGAGUUACAGCCUGCCGCCUAUAACUCGUCUGCCUCACUGCGACUCCUCAGAAACUCUCUGCAGACCCGAGUUCCCCCAGCUCAAAGGAUCCGUUUAGACAUGAAGGGAACGUGAGGCCAGAGGCACAGGAAUACUGUGGACUAAAUGGAAGAGCCAAGACAAGGUCAUGGUAUAGGCACCGCCCUCCAGAAGGCUGCAGGAACCAACUCCAAAGGAGAAAUCAGAGCACUGUUUCCUUAUGAGGUUGGAAUCCUGGUUCUGCUUCUUGGCAGCUGGACGUCCUUCAUCGAGCCAGUCAUUCUGAGCCUUUUCUUCUCUACAAAAUAUUGAGGAUAGACAACAGGGCCGUUCUAGUUCCGUGACACACCAAAGAGGAAGAAUUCUCUGCUCGUCUGCCGUGAGAAGAAUUGUUGAUGACUGCCUCUCAGAGCCAAAGGACCAGCAUUAAAACCCCUCUUUGACCAAGAUUAAAACCACUAAUCAUUGAAUUAAAAGUGCCUUGCAAUCGCUAAGAUUCCAUUUUCCAAUGAUCAUGGCUGCCCAUAGAUUUCAGGGUUCAGAACUCUCUAAAGACAAGACUACAUUGAAUUUAUCUUAUAUCUCAGCAUCCAUCACAGCAUCUGAGGCAUAACAAGGGAUUGAUAAACAAUUUUGAAUUUGAAAUGUACAAGAGAAAACAUCAAGUGCUGGUGGGAAGAGAAUCAACUCACUUCAGAGUUCCCUAACAGUGGUGACAGGAUGUGCACAGCGGCUGCAGUCAUCCUCACGGCGUUUCCCGGCACAGCAGCAGUUGGUGUCUAGAGUCUGGCAUUUGCUGUGAACCAGCCUGGCAGCUUUUGUUCCCCAGUGCAUGGUUGCAUAUCACAGUAGUAAGUCCUUCUGGUUCUUCUAUGUGAGCCGUCACCACAGCACAGCAGCUGACAGAUGCACCAUGUGGUUCCAGGACCAGGAACCGAACCCAGGCUGCUGAAGCAGUGAGAGCACCGAACUUUAACCACUAGGUUGUCAAGGCUGGCUCUGAAUUAUAUUUUAUGUAAAACAAAAUAAAAACUUUAAAGUCCGUGUUAUUUGUUUGCAUGAUGUGAUGAGAAGAACUCAGCUAGGUAUCUUGUAACUAUGGAUUCACUACACUACGUAAGACAUGUGUAUUUAUGCCAUCUUUAGUUAUUAGCCUUGAGGUUUAUGAUGUCCAAAGCUAGAUGUUUAUGGUGUCCAAAUACUAGAAUUUUGCUAAGGUGGACCCAAGUUUUUAAAUAACAUGUAAUCACGAAUACAUAGAAUUUAAAGGUUAGAAAAGUCUUGAGGGUAAUUCAUCAUUCUAUUAACAGAUCAACAAGAAGAAACAUACAACAUCUCAACAGAUUCAAAAAAACAUCAGAUGAUAUCCAAUAUUCAACCCUGAAAAAAGG